rnacentral:lncRNA from 1 species
GCACAUCAUAGAGAAAAGGACGGGGCGAGCAAUUUGCCGCUUGAACAGAUCGAGAGAAGCAAGUUCAGUAAUUGAGUAUUUGGCAAGAAAUUUCAGUAAGGUCUAAAUUAAACUGUGAAUUUGAACUGAAAACAACAAAAACACCAAAAUACAGGUAGAAUGAUCUCAAAUUCCUGAUUAAAAAUGUUGAUUGCAUUAAAGCACUUAACUUAACAAUUGCAUUUCCUAGGACAGAAAAUUCAGUAUAUGUGAUGUCAAAGUUUAAACUUUGACUUGCAACGUUACCUACACGACAUGAAAAUUGUCCUAAAGCUUCAAUAAAUGGAAUAGACUUGAUAUCCCCUGCACAAGGAUCAGUCACUUUGAGAAAACAUAUCCACAAACAACUUAUUAUGCCUAUUGUCAAACAACAAAGACACCUGUGGCGUCACCAAUUAACGUUCAAGUGAGAAUAGAUCUCAAAUUGCGAGUAGAAGUAGUAUUAACCACACUGUUCAAUUUUAACCAGAAAGCUUGUUAAUGUAAAAAUAUGACACUUGGGCCUAACUCAAUCCCAAAAGCUAGCUCAUGAGGGGAGGUUUGUCCAAGUCCAUAAAAGGAGACCAAAUUUCCAUCCCUCUACCGAUGUGGGACAUCUUAACACUCCCCCACACGCCCAGACCUCAACUGGAGCGUGAACACUUCUAAAUGGGGAGCCCAUCAUUGGUGAACAACAAAUUGGGAUGAGAUAUGACACAUGGGCCUAACUCAACCCCAAAAGCUAGCUCAUGAGGGGAGGUUUGUCCAAGUCCAUAAAAGGAGACCAAAUUUCCAUCCCUCUACCGAUGUGGGACAUCUUAA